CUUCAUGGGAGAAGUGUCCAAGUCAUUGUGAGAAGAACAGGUUGUCUACCAGGAACCACCUCCAGGCCAUGGGGAACUGACUGCAUUUUCAAAUGAGAUUAUUGUCUCCUGCUCACAACACCAAGGAAAAGAGAUUGGCCGGUUUUCACCACAUGGGAACAGUAGGUGCGCUGUUGCAGGAAAGCAUGAGGGGGGCAGCCGCGGGGCCACAUCCCUUGUGACCGCUGAUCUAGGAAGCUGGACCCAAGGCCCCUCGUGCUCCCACCUGGUCUGCAGACACCAAAUCCAGGCCCCCAAGGCUGGAACAUCCACUGCCCCUCCUGUCUCUGAGAGAUCAGACGCAGGGGACCCAUUUUCUAGAUGAAGGCAGCUGAGGAUGAGGGAAGCAAAGGGGUCUGGGAACCCUUCCGUU